rnacentral:rRNA from 1 species
AUUGAACGCUGGCGGCAGGCCUAACACAUGCAAGUCGAACGAGUGGCGGACGGGUGAGUAAUGUCUGGGAAACUGCCUGAUGGUGGGGGAUAACUACUGGAAACGGUAGCUAAUACCGCAUACCAUCAGAUGUGCCCAGCUGGGCUUAGCUUGUUGGUGGGGUAACGGUUCACCAAGGAGACGAUCCCUAGUUGGUCUGAGAGGAUGACCAGCGCGACAGGAACGAAGGCACGGUCCAGACGCCUACGGGAGGCAGCAGUGGGGAAUAUUGCACAAUGGGCGAAAGCCUGAUACAGCCAUGCCGGGUGUAUGAAGAAGGCCUUCGGGUUGUAAAGUACGUUCAGCGGGGAGGCGUUACCCGCAGAAGAAGCACCGGCUAACUCCGUGCCAGCAGCCGCGGUAAUAC